rnacentral:ncRNA from 1 species
AUCAUCAGUAGUGGUUAUACUAUAUCUAUAUAUAUAUAUAACUUCUAUUUUUAUAAAGGCUUACUAAUAGGCAUGAUUGUAUAGCGUGGAUGUAUACGGUCAUUGUUUUAUUAUUCAAUUCACCCAAUAGCUAAGUAUUAUGAUUGACCUUACUAACAAUAGGGCCACAGUCAAUACUUCGUUUCGGUCUUUUAGAUUAUUACAUUU